rnacentral:lncRNA from 1 species
UGUAAUUCAGACAGAUAUUUGCUUUGGCCAUAAACUAUGAUUCAUAACAAUAUGAAAAAGUCUGAUAAUAAAUGGUCGCAAUUGGCACCUAUAUGAAUAUCUGCAACCUGUCAGUAAACUUUAUUGCCAAAACUAACAUAGAUGUUGCCAAGAUGUAGAUUUACAGCUAAAAAAACGUCUCAUUACAGUUUCAAUAAGACUGAGUAUAUCUAGCACGUUUCCUUUUUAGCUCACCUGGCCCUAAGGGCCAAGUGAGCUUUUCCCAUCACUUUGCGUCCGGCGUCCGGCGUCCGUCGUCCGUCGUCCUCUCCGUCGUCGUCGUUAACUUUUACAAAAAAUCUUCUCCUCUGAAACUACUGGGCCAAUUUAACCAAACUUGGCCACAAUCAUCAUUGCGGGUACUAGUUAAAAAAAUCUGUCCGGUGACCCGGCCAACCGCAAGAUGGCGCCAUGGCUAAAAAUAGAACAUAGGGUAAAAUGCAGUUUUGGCUUAUAACUCAAAAACACAAAGCAUUUAGAGCAAAUUCUGACAUGGGUAUAUUGGUCAUCAGGUCAAGAUCUACUGCCCUGAAAUUUUCAGAUGAAUUCGACAUUUCGUUGUUGGGUUGCCCCUGAAAUGGUAAUUUAAGGAAAUUUUGCUGUUUUUGGUUAUUAUCUUGAAUAUUAUUAUAGAUAGAGAUAAACUGUAACAGCAAUAAUGUCAGCAAAGUAAGAUUACAAAUAAGUCAACGUGACCAAAAUGGUCAGUUGACCCUUUAGGAGUUAUUGCCCCUUUAUAGUCAAUUUUAACCAUUUUUUCGUAAUCUUAGUAAUCUUUAGAAAAAAAUCUUCUCCUCUGAAACUACUGGGACAAAUUAAUCCAAACUUGGCCAUAAUCAUCAUUGGGUAUCUAGUUUAAAAAUGUGUCCGGUGACCGGGCCAACCAAACCAAGAUGGCCGCCAUGGCUAAAAAAUAGAACAUAGGGGUAAAAUGCAGUUUUUGGCUUAUAACUCAAAAACCAAAGCAUUUAGAGCAAAUCUGACGGGUAAAUUGUUAUCAGGUCAAGAUCUAUUCUGCCUGAAAUUUUCAGAUGAAUCAACAUUCCCGUUGUUGGGUUGCUGCCCUGAAUGGUAAUUUUAAGGAAUUUUGUCUGUUUUUGGUUAUUAUCUUGAUAUUAUUAUAGAUAGAGAUAAACUGUAAAGAGCAAUAAUGUUCAGCAAAUUAGAUCUACAAAUAAGUCAUCAUGACUAAAAUGGUCAGUUGACCCUUUAGGAGUUAUUGCCCUUUAUAGUCAAUUUUUAACCAUUUUUCGUAAAUCUUAGUAAUCUUUUAGAAAAAUCUUCUCCUCUGAAACUACUGGGCCAAAUUUAACCAAACUUGGCCAUAAUCAUCAUUGGGGUAUCUAGUUAAAAAAAAUGUGUCCGGUAACUCGGCCAACAAACCAAGAUGGCCCCAUGGCUAAAAAUAGAACAUGGGGGGUAAAAUGCAGUUUUGGCUUAUAACUCAAAAACCAAAGCAUUAAGAGCAAAUCUAACAGGAAGUAAAAUUGUUGAUCAGGUCACGAUCUAUCUGCCCUGGAAUUUUCAGAUGAAUCAGAUAAUUGGUUGUUAGGUUGCUGCCCCUGAAUUGGUAAUUUUGAGGAAAUUUUGCUGUUUUUUUGUUAUCUUGAAUAUUAUUAUAGAUAGAGAUAAACUGUAAACAGCAAUAAUGUACAGCAAAGUAAGAACUAAAAAUAAGUCACUAUGACCAAAAUAGUCAAUUGACCCCCUAAGGAGUUAUUGCCCUUCAUAGUCAAUUUUUAACAAUUUUCUUAAAAUUUGAAGAUUUUCAAUAACAUUUUCCACAGAAAGUACUGUUAUAGAUAGAGAUAAUUGUAAGCAGCAAGAAUGUUUAGUAAAGUAAGAUCUCCAAACACAUCACCAUCACCAAAACACAAUUUUGUCAUGAAUCCAUCUGUGUCCAUUGUUUAAUAUUCACAUAGACCAAGGUGAGCGACACAGGCUCUUUAGAGCCUCUAGUUUCAUCACAGAAGUAGUCCUAAAAGGAUCAUUCAAUUAAAUAAGACCAUUUCUGUUUGAUAAGAUUGUGUGGUUGUGUAAUGUAUCGUCGUCAAAAUCAUAGUUGGCAAUUGAAUUGAAAGGCCAGACCAUCAAAAGCAUGUAAUGUAUCCAAAACAUCCAAAGAUAAAUAUAACCCGAAAAAUAACUAAUUCCAUCAUUUCAUAGGCACUAUUACAAAACAAAUCACUAGUCCUUUCACCAAAGUAAGUAACAAGUUCACUCUAUGGAAAGAUAAGGCAUUCUUACUUUUACAUGAGAUAAAAUGAAUUUUGAACAAGUUUCUUUUGUAGUUCAGGCAACUAAUACAUAGCAGGUACUUCUAAUUUUUUUAAAAGAGUCCUUAAGGUCAGCUUCACUAUUUGACUCUCUGUGAAGCGUACAGUCUUGAAUGAAGAUUAAUGUUUAACGUCAUCUAUGCAGUAUAAGUAAUGACUCCUGUCACAAAAUAGAAUUAAAACGCUCUAAACAGUAAAAGAAGUCAGAUAAUCACAACACAGAGUCCCCAAAGAUAAUCAAAACAUAUUGAACUGUCACCAAAGACAUAUUCAACAUAAAAGUACAGUCAAAAGGAAAAGUUGACCUACAAUUGUUUAAGUUUUUAAACUUUGUGACAUGGACAGAGAGUUGUCUCAUUGGCACUCAUACCACAUCUUAUUUAUAUUAAAGCAACAUCUCUGCCAAAACAUUUUUUUUUAUUUUAAAACGUAAUGUUGUAUAUAUACAUAUAUCACUAAUGAAAUAUAAACUCUGAAUCAAUAUUUCUAUGAAAAAAAGUUGUGUAUGUUAUAAGAUUUUCAUUAAUUUUUGUUUCCACUUUUGGAGGGACAGACCCAUUUCAAGCCAAAUCACUCUUUAUAAAAAAUAAUCAGUGUGUGACAACACAGACAUUCAUGUGAUAAAGAUUUGAAUGAACGUAUUGUUUGGAAGAUUAAAAAUAUUUUCAAUGAAAUGUUGAAAUGAAACGUGUAGUUAUGUCCCUUUGUUUUAGAUUAUCGUCCAAUAACAGUUAUCAAUUAAUUAUUAGUAUUGACUAACGAAUAGGAACAAUUAGAAUGCCCAAAAUAAGUACAUUUAUCCUAUCUUUAUUGAAAGACCCAAGAUUCAAAAGUUGUAUUUUUGACAAAUUAUUAUAAAUCUUUACUUUUUAACCAAAACUUACAAAAUAAUUGAAUUCUUAAAUAGUUUUCAAUAUUUUAACAGAUUAUGGUUUAACUGUAAACAGUAAAUAUAUUAUAAGUCAAAUAUAUUUAAGAACAAUCUUUAAAAAAUUCUUCCGCAGGUUGUUUUUGAUUUAUUUUUUAGUGGAAGUUCCAAAGUUAAUAAAAUAAUUAUGGUCAAAAGAUGAAAGAAAAAUGACAGAAAAUAUCACUACUUGCAGAUUCUGAAAUUGUUGAAUCCCACUCUGAUUCCAAGCAUGUUCACACAACAAGGCAACAACAGAAAUCUGAUUCCAGUUAACAUUUGAAAUGUUAUGUCACUUAUAACCAUAUAUAAGUCAAAUAAUAGAUUAUCUAUAUAUAGAAUAACAAUAUUGUACUUUACAAGCACCAUUCCACGGACAAUUUUCUUGACAGUCAAAACAUAAAUACUGUAUAUCAUAUAUACAUUAAAGUAAAGUACAUAAGCCUAAGAAAUGCAUAUGCAUCAUUGAAAAGCUCUUCUUAAGGUAUUGAAGAGAAGCAAGAUAAAAAAAAAUCAACAUGAAAACAUGUGUACAUAAUAUAUAUAUAAAUACACAAAUAAUAAGUAUA